GAUGAACGCUGGCGGCGUGCCUAAUACAUGCAAGUCGAGCGAACAGAUGAGGAGCUUGCUCCUCUGACGUUAGCGGCGGACGGGAGAGUAACACGUGGAUAACCCACCUAUAGGACUGGGAUAACUACGGGAAACCGGAGCUAAUACCGGAUAAUAUAUUGAACCGCAUGGUGCAAUAGUGAAAGAAGGUUUUGCUGGCACUUAUAGAUGGAUCAGCGCCUCAUUAGCUAGUUGGCAAGGUAACGGCUUACCAAGGCAAGGAUGGGUAGCCGACCCGAGAGGGUGAUCCGCCACCUUGUCUGUGAGGCUCGUCCCACACACUGGGACUGAGACGCAGUAGGGACUCCUCCGCGAUGCAGCAGAGGCUGAUGUAGCGCCGUCGCGUGAAUCAUGAAGCACUUCUGCUCCUAAAAUUCUGUUAUUCUGAGGGUACUAAAGUUCUUUCAGCUAUGAACGUAUUGACGGUACCUACACAGGAAGCCACGGCUAACUUCGUG
rnacentral:rRNA from 1 species